GGAUACAUAGCUUAGUUGGUGAGAGCAUCCGGCUCAUAACCGGGCGGUCGCAGGUUCAAGUCCUGCUGUAUCCA
rnacentral:tRNA from 1 species